CCUACGGGAGGCAGCAGUGGGGAAUAUUGGACAAUGGGCGAAAGCCUGAUCCAGCCAUGCCGCGUGUGUGAAGAAGGCCUUCGGGUUGUAAAGCACUUUCAGUGGGGAAGAAAGCCUUGGGGCUAAUACCCUCGAGGAAGGACAUCACCCACAGAAGAAGCACCGGCUAACUCCGUGCCAGCAGCCGCGGUAAUACGGAGGGUGCGAGCGUUAAUCGGAAUUACUGGGCGUAAAGCGCGCGUAGGCGGUCUGAUAAGCCGGUUGUGAAAGCCCCGGGCUCAACCUGGGAACGGCAUCCGGAACUGUCAGGCUAGAGUGCAGGAGAGGAAGGUAGAAUUCCCGGUGUAGCGGUGAAAUGCGUAGAGAUCGGGAGGAAUACCAGUGGCGAAGGCGGCCUUCUGGACUGACACUGACGCUGAGGUGCGAAAGCGUGGGUAGCAAACAGGAUUAGAUAUCCCGGUAGUC
rnacentral:rRNA from 1 species